rnacentral:rRNA from 1 species
UAUGCCCACAAUACUCGCAACACAUUUGAUCUUACCUGAUCUGGAUAGCUAAACAGGUUUGGCUUGGCUAGUACUUGGAUGGGCUAAAGCUGGCUGAACAUGAGCCAUGGGAAUAA